GAUGAACGCUAGCUACAGGCUUAACACAUGCAAGUCGCGGGACCGGCGCACGGGUGAGUAACGCGUCUCCAACCUGCCCUUCACCACGGGAUAACCCGGCGAAAGUCGGACUAAUACCGUAUGGUGAAGGAUGGGGAUGCGUCCGAUUAGCUUGACGGCGGGGUAACGGCCAACCGUGGCUACGCUCGGUAGGGGUUCUGAGAGGAAGGUCCCCCACACUGGAACUGAGACCCGGUCCAGACUCCUACGGGAGGCAGCAGUGAGGAAUAUUGGUCAAUGGGCGUAAGCCUGAACCAGCCAAGUAGCGUGCAGGACGACGGCCUAUGGGUUGUAAACUGCUUUUAUGCGGGGAUAGGUACCGCAUGAAUAAGCACCGGCUAACUACGUGCCAGCAGCCGCGGUAAUUC
rnacentral:rRNA from 1 species